GUUCACCAUUAAACCAAACUCUUUCCUUCUUGAUUCUCUCGAAAGCUUGCACAACGGCCUGCCAAUUCUCUGGCUCUGUAUCUAAAACCUUUCUGAAACUAUUUCUUGAGCCUUCCCUCUCCUCAUGCCACUUGGACCUAUACUCCACAUCAUCUUCCCCUUCCACCCACCUCCUCCUUUCCUCGGUUUUCGCCUUCAUUCUCCUCCCAUCAUCCAAUUUAACAGUCAACACCCUCCCGUGAAACUCAACCCCAU
rnacentral:misc_RNA from 1 species